rnacentral:tRNA from 3 species
CGCGGGGUGGAGCAGUGGUAGCUCGUUGGGCUCAUAACCCAAAGGUCGGAGGUUCAAAUCCUUCCCCCGCAAUCA